rnacentral:tRNA from 4 species
GCUGGGAUAGCUCAGCUGGUAGAGCAUCUCCAUGGUAAGGAGAAGGUCGUGGGUUCGAGUCCCAUUCCCAGCU